rnacentral:rRNA from 1 species
AUGGAUAUUAGAGCUAGCAAAUAUGCCCAUAAGUUGUUUAGUAUCCAGCAGAAUGCCUUUAUUAAAGGGAGGCAUAUUGUGGAUGGUAUACUAUCUUUGCAUGAGAUUAUGCACUAUAAUCAUGUCAAAAAACAAGUCAGAGUAGUUCUCCAGCUCGAUUUCGAGAAGGCUUAUGACAAAGUAAACUGGGAUUUUUUGCUUGAUUGUCAUGAAAAGCGCGGGUUUAAUCCCAAGUGGUGUGGAUGGGUCUCUUAG